UGCAGUCGAACGGUGAUAGCAAUAUCAUAGUGGCGCACGGGUGCGUAACACCUAUGCAACCUACCUUAUACUGAGGGAUAGCCUUUCGAAAGGGAGAUUAAUACCUCAUAACACAUUGAACUGGCAUCAGUUUAUUGUUAAAGAUUUAUUGGUAUAAGAUGGGCAUGCGUCCAAUUAGUUAGUUGGCGAGGUAACGGCUCACCAAGACGAUGAUUGGUAGGGGAACUGAGAGGUUAAUCCCCCACACUGGCACUGAGAUACGGGCCAGACUCCUACGGGAGGCAGCAGUAGGGAAUAUUGGGCAAUGGAGGCAACUCUGACCCAGCCAUGCCGCGUGCAGGAAGAAGGCGUUAUGCGUUGUAAACUGCUUUUAUAUAGGAAGAAAUAGACCUUGCGAGGUAAGUUGACGGUACUAUAUGAAUAAGCACCGGCUAACUCCGUGCCAGCAGCCGCGGUAAUACGGAGGGUGCAAGCGUUGUCCGGAUUUAUUGGGUUUAAAGGGUGCGUAGGCGGUUUAUUAAGUCAGUGGUGAAAGACGGUCGCUCAACGAUUGCAGUGCCAUUGAUACUGGUAGACUUGAGUGGGAUUGGGGUAGCUGGAAUGGAUAGUGUAGCGGUGAAAUGCAUAGAUAUUAUCCAGAACACCAAUUGCGUAGGCAAGUUACUAAGUCUCAACUGACGCUGAGGCACGAAAGUGUGGGUAUCAAACAGGAUU
rnacentral:rRNA from 1 species